rnacentral:rRNA from 1 species
CGGCACGGGUGAGUAACACGUAUGCAAUCCACCUGUAACAGGGGGAUAACCCGGAGAAAUCCGGACUAAUACCCCAUAAUAUGGGCGCUCCGCAUGGAGAGCCCAUUAAAGAGAGCAAUUUUGGUUACAGACGAGCAUGCGCUCCAUUAGCCAGUUGGCGGGGUAACGGCCCACCAAAGCGACGAUGGAUAGGGGUUCUGAGAGGAAGGUCCCCCACAUUGGAACUGAGACACGGUUCAA